rnacentral:rRNA from 1 species
UAGGGAAUCUUCCGCAAUGGACGAAAGUCUGACGGAGCAACGCCGCGUGAGUGAUGAAGGUUUUCGGAUCGUAAAACUCUGUUGUCAGGGAAGAACAAGUACGGGAGUAACUGUCCGUACCUUGACGGUACCUGACCAGAAAGCCACGGCUAACUACGUGCCAGCAGCCGCGGUAAUACGUAGGUGGCAAGCGUUGUCCGGAAUUAUUGGGCGUAAAGCGCGCGCAGGCGGUCUUUUAAGUCUGAUGUGAAAGCCCACGGCUCAACCGUGGAAGGUCAUUGGAAACUGGAAGACUUGAGUGCAGAAGAGAAGAGCGGAAUUCCACGUGUAGCGGUGAAAUGCGUAGAGAUGUGGAGGAACACCAGUGGCGAAGGCGGCUCUUUGGUCUGUAACUGACGCUGAGGCGCGAAAGCGUGGGGAGCAAACAGGAUUAGAUACCCUGGUAGUCCACGCCGUAAACGAUGAGUGCUAAGUGUUGGGGG